UACAGAGGUCUCAAGCGUUGUUCGGAUUCAUUGGGCGUAAAGGGUGCGUAGGCGGCGCGGUAAGUCGGGGGUGAAAUCUCGGGGCUUAACUCCGAAACUGCAUUCGAUACUGCCGUGCUUGAGGACUGGAGAGGAGACUGGAAUUUACGGUGUAGCGGUGAAAUGCGUAGAUAUCGUAAGGAAGACCAGUGGCGAAGGCGGGUCUCUGGACAGUUCCUGACGCUGAGGCACGAAGGUCAGGGGAGCAAACGGG
rnacentral:rRNA from 1 species